UGAGGAAUAUUGGUCAAUGGGCGGGAGCCUGAACCAGCCAAGUCGCGUGAGGGACGACGGCCCUACGGGUUGUAAACCUCUUUUGCCGGGGAGCAGGGAGCGCCACGCGUGGUGCUUUUGAGAGUACCCGGAGAAAAAGGCAUCGGCUAACUCCGUGCCAGCAGCCGCGGUAAUACGGAGGAUGCGAGCGUUAUCCGGAUUUAUUGGGUUUAAAGGGUGCGUAGGCGGGAUGUCAAGUCGGCGGUAAAAAUUUCGGGGCCCAACCCCGUCGUGCCGUCGAAACUGGCGUCAUAGAGUGGGCGAGAAGUACGCGGAAUGCGUGGUGUAGCGGUGAAAUGCAUAGAUAUCACGCAGAACUCCGAUUGCGAAGGCAGCGUACCGGCGCCCAAGCUGACGCUGAAGCACGAAAGGCGUGGGUAUCGAACAGGAUUAGAUACC
rnacentral:rRNA from 1 species